rnacentral:rRNA from 1 species
UACGGAGGGGGCAAGUGUUGUUCGGAAUUACUGGGCGUAAAGGGCGCGCAGGCGGCCUGGCAAGUCGAGUGUGAAAGCCCUCAGCUUAACUGAGGAAUGGCGCUCGAAACUACCUGGCUUGAGGGCGGGAGAGGGAAGUGGAACUCUCGGUGUAGGGGUGAAAUCUGUAGAUAUCGAGAGGAACACCGGUGGCGAAGGCGGCUUCCUGGCCCGUACCUGACACUGAGGCACGAAAGCGUGGGGAUCAAACAGG